rnacentral:rRNA from 1 species
CUGGCUCAGGACGAACGCUGGCGGCGUGCUUAACACAUGCAAGUCGAACGAUGAAGCCCAGCUUGCUGGGUGGAUUAGUGGCGAACGGGUGAGUAACACGUGAGUAACCUGCCCUUGACUUCGGGAUAACUCCGGGAAACCGGGGCUAAUACCGGAUAUGAGCUACCUUCGCAUGGGGGUGGUUGGAAAGUUUUUCGGUCAGGGAUGGGCUCGCGGCCUAUCAGCUUGUUGGUGGGUGAUGGCCUACCAAGGCGACGACGGGUAGCCGGCCUGAGAGGGCGACCGGCCACACUGGGACUGAGACACGGCCCAGACUCCUACGGGAGGCAGCAGUGGGGAAUAUUGCACAAUGGGCGCAAGCCUGAUGCAGCCGACGCCGCGUGAGGGAUGAAGGCCUUCGGGUUGUAAACCUCUUUCAGCAGGGAAGAAGCGCAAGUGACGGUACCUGCAGAAGAAGCGCCGGCUAACUACGUGCCAGCCGCCGC